rnacentral:rRNA from 1 species
GACGUAGGGCGCGAGCGUUGUCCGGAUUUAUUGGGCGUAAAGAGCUCGUAGGCGGCUUGUCGCGUCGGACUGUGAAAUCCCGCGGCUCAACUGCGGGUCUGCAGUCGAUACGGGCAGGCGUAGAGUUCGGUAGGGGAGACUGGGAAUUCCUGGUGUAGCGGUGAAAUGCGCAGAUAUCGAGGAGAACCACCGUGUGGCGA